CUACAUCUUUAUUUUUAGCGGCCAAAAUUGCUCGCUCACUUAACCAUUUAGUAUUUUUGUGGUUAGCAAUGAUAUCCGGGAAUACGUUGUUGAUAAGCUCGUCUUUUGAUGAUACGAAAUUGCAAAAAUUUGGAGGAAAUGAAAUCAAACCGCUCGAUUUGUCUACAGGAACACGGCCAUUACAGAUAGUCAGCAAUUGCUUCGAGAAAUCAUCAGCAGAUAGAUCGUUCAACAAUGCAACUCUCAUAUUUACAGACAGUUGAAGUUUCUUUACAUAUCGCCACAGAUUUGAUGCUUUGAGGCAAGCCUUUAUUUCGUCGGCAGCAGUAGAUCUUGGAAUGACUGGUAGUGUUUGUCGGAAAUCGCCAGAUAAUAAAAUCAUUGCACCACCAAACCAUCUCGAGUCAUUGCGCAGAUCUUUUAAUGUUCGGUCUAGUGCUUCCAAUGCGCGUUUGUGCGGCAUUGUGCAUUUGUCCCAUAUGAUGAUUUUCGAUGCUACUAAAACUUUGGCCAUUGCGGAGUUUUUCGAAAUGUUACAUGUCAUUUGUUCAGUAGUUUGAAGGUUUAAUGGCAAUUUUAAAGCUGAGUGAGCCGUACGGCAUCCUUCUAACAAUGUGGCCGCUAUUCCAGAAGAAGCAAUUGCUACCGCAAUUUCGGAUCUCGCACGUACAGUGGCCAAAAUCAAUGACGUGAGGAAUUUCUUCCCAGUUCCACCGGGAGCAUGAAAAAAAAGCCGCCAUUUCCAUCAUCAAUUGCAUUAAUCAGUGUAUCAUAGACUUCCCUCUGCUUAGGAUUCAACAGAGGUACAUUCGUUUGAACUGAUUGGAUUAGUUCAUGUGGAUCAUAUUCAUGUUCACGUUCCAAUUCUCUAUUAAAUGGGUCGUUCAUUCCGCGAUCUGGCGCUGGCAUUCCUAACCGAACUAACAAACUGCCGCACAUGAGGUAAUACAUAUCUUCGAUCAAGAGCAAAGCCUGGUUAUGGAUCUCCUC
rnacentral:lncRNA from 1 species